rnacentral:rRNA from 1 species
AGCUGGGGGUACCUGAAGACGGUCACCGCAAGGAGCUGUUUAGGGUAAAACUAGUGACUGGGGCUAAGUCGUAACAAGGUAGCCGUACCGGAAGGUGCGGCUGGAACACCUCCUUUCUAGAG